CACCCUCUUAUAUCGGCCUGUUCUCUACUGGGUGAAUAAUUGACCCGUUACCCGUUAACCGUUAACCGUUACCCGGUAACCGUUAACCGUUAGAGCGGCGGUUCCUCCCAGCAGCUCCAGCAGCAGCAGCCCGUUAAUCAGUUAGUUAGUUAGCAUGAUGCUAGUUGACAGCUAACGCCUCCCUCUAACCCUCCAGCCCUCCAGCUCCUCUAACAGCUGGACACAGAGAGGCUGCUGCUGCUGCUGGUGUGUUCGUUAACAGGAUACUGUGAUUCAACACAUUCAUAAUGCAGCUAGCAACUCUGCAGCUAGAGUUCAAGUGGGUUGUUGCAGUGAGGCUCCGUGUCUCCACCGAGGCUCCGUGAUGUUGCUCCCCGGGACUCUGACGCUUCUCUCGGUCUGUCUCCGCUCCCGGCCCGGGCCAUCCCAUUGGCUGCUGACGCGCACAUUCUACCUAGCAACGCUGUAGGGAAUUUUCUGAUUGGCUGCUGGAGGGAAUUUUCUGAUUGGCUGCCUGUGAGUUCGGUGAUGAGGCUGAGGAUGAGGGAUGAAGGGAGGGCAGGGUCGCGGGGGCAGCAGGUUUAGCAGGAAUCCCAGACGUCCCUCUCCCCAGCAACGCUUUCCAGCUCUUCCUGGGGGACCCUCAGGCGUUUCCCAGGCCAGACCAGAUAUAUAACUCUGGAAAAGGCGAGAGUCCAGCCCCUCUCCAGGAGUCUAGUUCCAGAACCAGAGCUAUGAGAGGUGAGCCCAACUAUAUCUAGUUGGUACCGCUCCACCUGCCGCUCCAGCUCCGUUUCCUUCCCCGCCAGAGAAGUGACGUUCC